rnacentral:rRNA from 1 species
CAAUAGCGCAUAUUAAAGUUGUUGCGGUAAAAAAGCUCGUAGUUGGAUUUCUACCGAAGAUAGCCGGUCGGGUCUUCGACCUUGUAUCUGGUUUUGUCUUUGGUAUCCUCAUAGGGAACGUUUCUGCGCUUUAUUGCGUGGUGCGGUAUCUAUGACUUUUACUUUGAGGAAAUUAGAGUGUUCACGGCAGGCAAACGCCUUGAAUAUAUUAGCAUGGAAUAAUAACAUAGGAUCUUCGUCCUAUUUUGUUGGUUUCUAGGGCUAAGAUAAUGAUUAAUAGGGAUAAUUGGGGGCAUCUGUAUCAACGCGUCAGAGGUGGAAUUCUUGGAUUGCGUUGCGACAAACUACUGCGAAAGCAUUUGCCAAGGAUGUUUUCAUUGA